CCAUGACUUUUACAUUUCUGUUGCGGCAAGUUGGUGGAAUAUCCAUUGAAAUCCGAAGGGAUAAACGAAUUGAAUCAUCGUUUCUUCGCCCAGCAAAUGAGGCCCGACGUAUCGCGAACAGUUCUUGAGUUUCUGAAUCUAUGAUGAGAACGAAAAAUCCCUCACUUUGAGGUUUAGGGAACAACGGCGCAAAAAUGUAAAAAUCGGGGUUGAGCGGCUGAUUGAGGCGUCGUAGAUAAAGGAGUAGCUUAUCUGAAGACGAUUGAGAAACUUCAAUGUUCAUUUUAGGAUACGAAAUUAAACUAUUGACCAGACUUUCUAUAUCAAAAACGUUAGGGUCAUUACAUAGCAUUUGAUAUAACUCAUCAGUUUUAUUUCCUGCAAAUUUGUUGAGAUAAUCUCUUGCUUCCUUUUCACUAGACGCAUUAAGUCCAGGUAAUGAAGCUCUGUAAAUCUCACUCGGAUAGCAAGCCUGUUUAAGACACUGCAUUAGAGAUAUGUACUGUAAACAGACAUGGGAGUAGCCUAGCUCAGCGGACACAUCAAUAUAAGACUGUAUAAUACGAAUAACCUGAUCUAAAACCGUGCUAGUAUCAGUAAC